rnacentral:rRNA from 1 species
UACAGAGGUGCCAAGCGUUGUUCGGAUUUAUUGGGCGUAAAGGGUGCGUAGGCGGUUGUGUAAGUCGGGUGUGAAAUUCCGGAGCCUAACUCCGGAACUGCAUUCGAAACUACACAGCUCGAGGUCUGGAGAGGUGACUGGAAUUCUCGGUGUAGCAGUGAAAUGCGUAGAUAUCCACAGGAACUCCGGUGGCGAAGGCGGCACGCUGGACCCCCACUGACGCUGAGGCGCGAAAGCCAGGGGAGCGAACGGG